AAGUCGUAACAAGGUUUCCGUAGGUGAACCUGCGGAAGGAUCAUUGUCGAAACCUGCCCAGCAGAACGACCCGCGAACCUGUCACAACAACUGGGGGCGGGGGGCGAUCUCGCGCCCCGCCCUCGAACGGCAGGGAGACACUCGUGCCUUCCUGCCGAACAACGUACCCCGGCGCGGUCCGCGCCAAGGAACAUGAACGAAAGAGUGCCUCCGGUCGCCUCGGAAACGCUGCGCGCACCGGAGGCGAAUCUUGUCUACAACCAUAACGACUCUCGGCAACGGAUAUCUCGGCUCUC
rnacentral:misc_RNA from 1 species